rnacentral:rRNA from 1 species
UACGUAGGUGGCAAGCGUUGUCCGGAAUUAUUGGGCGUAAAGCGCGCGCAGGUGGUUUCUUAAGUCUGAUGUGAAAGCCCACGGCUCAACCGUGGAGGGUCAUUGGAAACUGGGGAACUUGAGUGCAGAAGAGGAAAGUGGAAUUCCAAGUGUAGCGGUGAAAUGCGUAGAGAUUUGGAGGAACACCAGUGGCGAAGGCGACUUUCUGGUCUGUAACUGACACUGAGGCGCGAAAGCGCGGGGAGCAAACAGG